rnacentral:rRNA from 1 species
GMGACGCUGGCGGCGUGCUUAACACAUGCAAGUCGAACGGAAAGGCCCUUCGGGGUACUCGAGUGGCGAACGGGUGAGUAACACGUGGGUGAUCUGCCCUGCACUUUGGGAUAAGCCUGGGAAACUGGGUCUAAUACCGAAUAUGAUCAUGGCCUGCAUGGGUUGUGGUGGAAAGCUUUUGCGGUGUGGGAUGGGCCCGCGGCCUAUCAGCUUGUUGGUGGGGUAAUGGCCUACCAAGGCGACGACGGGUAGCCGGCCUGAGAGGGUGUCCGGCCACACUGGGACUGAGAUACGGCCCAGACUCCUACGGGAGGCAGCAGUGGGGAAUAUUGCACAAUGGGCGCAAGCCUGAUGCAGCGACGCCGCGUGAGGGAUGACGGCCUUCGGGUUGUAAACCUCUUUCAGUAGGGACGAAGCGCAAGUGACGGUACCUAUAGAAGAAGGACCGGCCAACUACGUGCCAGCAGCCGCGGUAAUACGUAAGGUCCGAGCGUUGUCCGGAAUUACUGGGCGUAAAGAGCUCGUAGGUGGUUUGUCGCGUUGUUCGUGAAAACUCACAGCUCAACUGUGGGCGUGCGGGCGAUACGGGCAGACUUGAGUACUGCAGGGGAGACUGGAAUUCCUGGUGUAGCGGUGGAAUGCGCAGAUAUCAGGAGGAACACCGGUGGCGAAGGCGGGUCUCUGGGCAGUAACUGACGCUGAGGAGCGAAAGCGUGGGGAGCGAACAGGAUUAGAUACCCUGGUAGUCCACGCCGUAAACGGUGGGUACUAGGUGUGGGUUUCCUUCCUUGGGAUCCGUGCCGUAGCUAACGCAUUAAGUACCCCGCCUGGGGAGUACGGCCGCAAGGCUAAAACUCAAAGAAAUUGACGGGGGCCCGCACAAGCGGCGGAGCAUGUGGAUUAAUUCGAUGCAACGCGAAGAACCUUACCUGGGUUUGACAUGCACAGGACGCCGGCAGAGAUGUCGGUUCCCUUGUGGCCUGUGUGCAGGUGGUGCAUGGCUGUCGUCAGCUCGUGUCGUGAGAUGUUGGGUUAAGUCCCGCAACGAGCGCAACCCUUGUCUCAUGUUGCCAGCACGUUAUGGUGGGGACUCGUGAGAGACUGCCGGGGUCAACUCGGAGGAAGGUGGGGAUGACGUCAAGUCAUCAUGCCCCUUAUGUCCAGGGCUUCACACAUGCUACAAUGGCCGGUACAAAGGGCUGCGAUGCCGUGAGGUGGAGCGAAUCCUUUCAAAGCCGGUCUCAGUUCGGAUCGGGGUCUGCAACUCGACCCCGUGAAGUCGGAGUCGCUAGUAAUCGCAGAUCAGCAACGCUGCGGUAAUACUUCCCGCU